CAGGCUGGAGGAGACCUUUGGGACAGGAAGCACCAAGGAGAAGCAGAGUGGGGGAAGAAGUACCAAGGUCUCAAAAAAGACUUGCUUCAGAGCAAAGGUGUGCUUGUUUUGUGGAGUCGAGGAAGAGUGCUGAAAAAAGGAAAGGCUGGCCAAAGGUAACCAUAUAAGUGGCGCUAUAAUUUUUUUCUUGCAGGGCUCAGACGUCGCCGGAUAGGAUGAGGAAAAGGAACAAUUCUACACAAGUUGUUUGUUUAUAAUCUAUCUGCAGGGUGGAUGUAAAGAGUAAACGGGAGGGGGCAGAGUACAGAGCUUUGGCAGCGAUGGAAGGGAGUUUGGCGUUGGCGAGGGCAGGCAGAGCUGAUGGAUAUGUCUGUGCGGUUAAGUGGUCUCUUGGGAUGGAGGUUUUGAGACAGUCUGUAGCGUACAGGGUUUGAGGUAGGAGUCCAUAUUGAGCAAUAAACACAAAUGUACUAACCUGGGGUAUUAUUUUUUUUGUAUGCUGGCCAGCUCCUUUGUGUAGUUUUGUUAAAUUGCAGUUUGCCUUGUUUGACUGUCGCUACGGAAGGGUAGUUUGGUGGCAGGUCCGGUUGUAAUGAGGGCAGGCAUGGAAAGUGUCGGUUGAGCUGAUGGUUUGGUUCAGUGGUGUUUGCGAAGGAAGGAAGGUUGAGAUGGUCCGCCUCGGUCCAGAGUCGCUUUGUUUUGAGUUGCGAACAGUGCAGCCCUUCGAAUGAGGAAUUCAUAUCGAUCAACACGAUGCUUCAGGAUGACUACGUCACAACAGCAAUCCAGAACAAAGAUGGAAAUGCUGUGCAGCUUCAAGAGCAAAGCACCAACUUUACGGGGAGAGUAUAUCUUAGUUACUCUUAGUGUCCACUUGCUCACUAACUCACUGGGUGUGCACGGACCAACUGAAUUGAUAUAUUUUUUGUGUUAUGAGAUGUGCAUCAUGUCCAGGCAACAAUGCUGAAACAUAGUAAUGAAUAAAAUGUACUUUUGAAAAAUGUUUUUGUGUUUGUAUUUUGGAGGGAAUGGUGAAAGUUGUUGUAAACGUGGUUUGACGAAUAGAAUUCAAAUGGUAAUGUUAGGAAGUGGGACUAUAUGUGCAAACAUCCGCAAUGUAGAGUAAGAUUUAAAUGUAGUGCAAGGCAUUUUCAAGAAUCCGGUUGGGACAUGCAGUAGGCUACUAUUGUUUUUGUCAUCACAGGCUGGAGGAGACCUUUGGGACAGGAAGCACCAAGGAGAAGUACUACCAAGGUCCCAAAAAAGACUUGGUUCAGAGGAAUGGUGUGCUUGUUUUGUGGAGUGGAGGAAGAGUGCUGAAAAAAGGAAAGGCUGGCCAAAGGGCAGCAGUCAAGUGGGAUGAGUUGAGAGGCACAAAGAACCACUGGGAAUGACUGGCAGCUUCAACAUCUUGAGGAAAAUGUACAGCUGGAGGAGACACUUGGGACAGGAAGCACCAAGGUCCCAAGAAAGACUUGCUUCAGAGGAAUGGUGUGCUUGUUUUGUGGAGUGGAAGAGUUGUUCUGAAAAAGGGAAAGGCUGGCCAAAGGUAAUAUAAGUGGCACUAUUUAAUUUUUUUGUCAUUGUUGUACAUUUUUGUUGCAGGGCAGCAGUGAAGUGGGGUGAGUUGACGGGCAGCUUCAACAUCUUGAGCAAAAUGGACAGUAAGUAAUACGCGUAAACACACAAUGUGAGCAAACAAGUAAUUGUACAGGGUGGAAAGUGCGCUGCAUGGGAUUAAAUGUAGAGCAAGACUAAUGCCAAUGAAAUAUUCAAGUGACAUAACUAUACUAUUGAAUUAGUUUUAAAGAAGAAUCAGGUUGGGACAUGCAGUAGGCUACUAUUGUUUUUACCUUUGGGACAGGAAGCACCAAAAAAGACUUGCUUCGUGGAGUGGAGGAAGAGUGCUGAAAAAAGGAAAGGCUGGCCAAAGGUAACCAUGUAAGUGGCACAAUUAAUUUCUUUAUUUUCUUGCAGGGCUCAGACGUCGCCGGAUGGGAUGAGGAAAAGGAACAAUUGUACACAAGAAUAAAGCGGCACGCAGAUAAGUUGUUUUUUCAUAAUCUAUCUGCAGGGUGGAUGUAAACGGGAGGGGGCAGAGGACAUGUCUGUGCGGUUAAGUGGUCUCUUGCGAAGGAGGUUUUGAGACACUUUGCAGCUGUUCAAGGUAGUUGUUUGAGCGGUCUGGAAAGCGUUAGCCGAGCUGAUGUUGGGACACGUCGGUGUGGUUGGAAAUGGGUGCCUAGCGGUUUGGCUCGCGUGGAUCUACAGGAGGUCUUUGUUCUGAAUGCCCCUCCCAGGUGAUGACCAGUAAACGGCACGCAACUACAAGAUGAACAGCUUCUUGUCCUUUGAGAAUUCCAGAUGGGUGAAAAGGUUGCACUGCUUAAAGAGCCACGUGCUUGCCUAUCCAGGGAGUAUAUUUGUUCUGUGAUUUAUUGUCAAAGUAUAUAUAUUUUUUGAAUGACCUCUGCAUUGUGGCGCCAAUGAUGAAACAUGUCUCUAAAUAAAGUGUUUUUAAAAUAG